rnacentral:lncRNA from 10 species
ACACAAGCUAUCGCUGACUGCCGGUGCAUGUUGGAAAUGGGCCACAGGGCUGGGCAUGAUAUGAGCUGCCUGGACAUUGGAGGGGGCUUCCCCGGAAUGGAGGGCUCCGGGCCCAAGUUUGAGGAGGUGAGCUGGUACGGGCGCUGGGGGUGUUCAGGGAGGUCCGCAUGUGUGCCCAGGCAUGGGUGUGUGUGGGGAGUCUGUGUUCAUGCAUGUACCUCUGUGUGUUUAGGUCUCUCUGGUGUAUCUCUGUGCUCUGUGUGCACAGGUGGGUAUGUGUGUAUGUGCAUGUCUUGGCUUUGAUAUCCCCCAAAAGCAGACUCUGAGACAAACACUUGGAUACAAGUAGUUUUUUUGGAGAUGAUCCGUGGAAGCGCCAAUGAGGAAGUCAGGAAAGAGAGAUAGAAGGGAGAAAAGUCAAAAGAAAAUUCAUCUAUGAGCUGGUUACCACUGUGGGCCGCUGCACCAGUCCCCCUGGGGACAAUGUAGAACCUCAGAAUCAUCCCACUAGAGGACAUGGGGCUGGUCCUUUAUUCACCAACUCCUGUCCUUCUUUGGUUGAAGGCUGUGGUCUGGGGGUGUUAAUUUCCUCACAUUCCAGCUAGUUUCCGAGGGUGCUGGAGAAAGCCCACAGAAUGAGAAGCAAAGGGAGGCAGGCGCUGGAGGCUGGAAAUCAUUUUGCACGGGCAGAUGAGCUCAGGUAGGCUGAGGGGAGGUGGCACAGGGUGUCCACUGCAGCUGCAGCAAGGUGUCUGGGGGCUGUGCCUCUCUGUGUGUCUGUGUGUCUGUAUGUGUAUAUGUUUUCCUGUAGAAUGUAGAAUUCUUGUUAGCAUCACCAAUACAGUUACAGUUACAGUUGGGAGUUUACAUUCCCUGGGUCCACAAGACACUCGCCUUCUUACGGUGCAUCAGAUUAAAUUGCUGCACCUUUGGACUUCUCAGGGAGCCUGGUGGCCAGCAACCCCACACAAGUGACCUCCUGUCUCUCAACUUCUGUUUCCUCUUUGGUAAACAGGGAUAAUUCUAAUGCCUACCUGCAGGGUGCCUCGGGGAUGAAAGGACUGAUGCAGUUGGCGAGAGUGAUCAGUGCUGCCCUGGCCCAGGACCUCCCUGAGGAGCGUGGUGUCAAGGUCAUCGCAGAGCCUGGCUGCUUCUAUGUGGAGUCUGUCUGCAUGGCCGCUGUCAACAUCAUUGCCAAGAGGGCUGUGCUGGAGCCCGGUGGGUGGGCCAGGAUGGCACUGGGUGGGGAUGCCACUGUCCAGGUGUCCCCAGGCCCUGGAGGAGAGGAAGGGCAGAGGGUUGGGCUCUGUCCCAGGAGCUGGGGGUCAGAGUAGUGACUGAGCACUCCCCAGGAGGCAGCCGGAAGCUGGUGUAUUAUCUCAAAGAUGGCCACUAUGGCUCCUUCCGCCUCUGCUACCGAGAGCCUGUCCCAAGGGUUCCCAUCGUGGUGAAGGUAAGGGGGCCACUCCAGCCCCGAGUCUAGUCCCUUACCUUGAGGUGCCUUGUGCCUCCCCUACUGGGAACAGUGGCUGUGCUGGACCCCAGAGGCAGGUCCUGGCCUGCUGCUUAGAACACAUGUGGACACGUACAUGAUGUGUGCUCACAGAUCAGAGCGUGUGCAGCAGCUGGAUAUGUAGGCCUCCUCAGGCAAAGGGGCGAUCACCAGAACACAAAGGCGUGGGUUGUUUUCCAAAAUAUUGAAGUUCUUCUCCCUGGUGGCUUAAGAGCCAUUCCUUCUUCCUGGUGGUUAAAGAGCUAUUCCCCCGAGUCCACCAGGGGCCUCCCUGCCGACACUCUUGCUGCUCAGUCCCUCCCACGAUCUGGCAACAAAGCUUCAAUACCUGACCCUGUAGGGCCAACAGGAUCUUCCUCCAGCUCUGCAGCAGUUGUCUCCUAAUGUGAUGGGUUGGUGUCCGGGCCACACUGCUUUGUAAAUAUCUUGACUGUUUCUCCCGGCCAGUGAACGUCUUGGUGUGUGCACACAUUUGGUCAUGUAUGUGACGUGUGUUUGCAUGCAUGUGCGAGUGUGUACGUGUGUGAAGUGUUUCUGGGUGUGUGUCUUCGUGUGUGUAUUUGCCUCUCUUCUCAUCGGAAGGAGUGAGUUCUGGAUGUGGAGGAACCAGUAGGAGACCCUGUGUUUGUUUGGUUCCCACAAUAGUUUUCAAUUUUAGUUGCCCAUAUUAAAAAAUCUAGACAUAUUUCAUAAAAGCCUGGAUUUUCUCAGCUCCUCUCAAACAUUUGAGAGAUCUGAUGAUACGUGGCCUGCAGAACAACAAGGCAACAAAUAAUUCAACAAAUUAGUCUAGCAUGUCAGGCACUGUGAUCUGCUGGAACGGGACUUCCUCAGUGGCUUUCCCCUUUGGACAGACAUUGACUUUCCAGUUUGUUGUAAGACUUACCUGGCCCAUUUCACUCAUUUGUGUUACCUGCUUGACCUCUAGGUAAUUGAGUUUUCAACUGCUGCCUUAUAGCAAUUAUUGAAGACAACAGCCCCACUUACAGAGGAGGAAUCUGAGCCCUUACUUGUAGGCACAUCAGACCUGGCCAGGCUGGGCAGGGGCCAUGGAGGGAUGGGUCCCAGCCAGUAUACACCCGUGUGCCCCUGGGAGUGUCCUUCCGGGUCUUUCAGUGCCUUCCAGAUAAGGGGGUGGGAUAGGCCAGCCUGCUGUCUUUUCUGACCCCCUUUCCUAUGUCACACAGGAGUUCUGCUCAGAGCCGCCCCUCUUCCCCUGCACCCUCUAUGUCCCAUGUGCGAUGCCUUUGACAGGCUCUUCUUGGAGGAUGUGCGGCUGCCCGAGCUGGAUGUAGGCGAUUGGCUGGUCUUCCCCUCCAUGGGUGCCUACAUGUCCUCCAUGAGCUCCAGCUUCAAUGGCUUCCUGCCUGCCACCAUCUGCUACACCAUGGGCCCCCAGCUCAGGUUUUAGCACCUCUUACGAAUGAGUGUCUGAGCAGCCAAAAAAUAAAUAAUGAAUCAUCCAGGCAAAGGGGAAGAAAAAUGGACUUGGCCAGAGAUGGGGAAGAACGUACGCAAAAAGAUGAGGUCGUUCAGAUUGGAAGUUGGAUUGGAGGGCGGACCAAAGGAGAAGCUGCUGAAGUAGAUGUUAAAGAUGGAGAGAAGUGGACGGCAGAGACAUAGAGGAGGAAAAGUCAGCAAGACCCGAGAUGUGUAUGGAGAGUUAGAGUGUGGGAAGUGUGACAUGUAACUGAAUCGGAUGAUGGCAACUUUCACUGGGCAGUGAAAGGUCAGUUGAGAACAACAAGCAAUAACAACCAUACGAAGAAUCUAGCAAACUCAGACUUUACUUCUCCUUUUCGUGGUCCUGGAAACAGCUCAGAAUAAAGUGGAUCUGGACCUCUACAGAAGAGAGGGAGCUCCAGAUUCCAGGCCUCAGCAGUUGAGCUGGUUCACCUUGGAAUCUGACUCUGACAAGCAAAAGGAAGCAGAGUCUGAUCAUCUUUCCAGGUAAUACAAGAGUGUUCCUGCAAAGUGAGCCUCUGAAGCUUUGGAGGGGAAGUGUAUUAGUCUGUUUUGCGUUGCUACAAAGGAAUACCUGAGACUGGGUGAUUUAUAAAGAGAAGAGGUUUAUUUGACCUAUGGUUCUGCAAGCUGUACAAGAAGCAUGGUGCCAACAUCUGCUUCUGGUGAGGACUCAGGAAGCUUCCACUCAUGGCUGAAGGCAAAGGGGAAGCCGGCAUCACAUGGCAAGAGAGGGAGCAAGACAGAGGAGGGGGUGCUUCAGGCUCCUCUAAACAACCAGAUCUCGUAUGGACUCACAGAGUGAGAACUCACUCAUUACUUCAAGGACAGCACCAUGACAUUCAUGAGGGGUGCGCCCACAUGACCCAAACACCUCCCACUAGGCCCCACCUCCAACAUUGGAGGUCACAUUUCAACAUGAGAUUUGGAGGUGGCAAAACAUGCAAACCAUACAGGGAGGGAGGAGCAGGGUGGUGGAUACAGCUGCACAGACUGGGAAAUGGGCCAGAAGCAGCUUUCCGGCUUGUGUAGGUGCUAGGAAAGACAGGCUGGUAAGACACAGAAUGCCUUUCGGUCUCCAAGCGUCCAGCAUGGUCUAGAUCAGAUCUGCAUAUAAGGUCAUCUUAUCAGAAGGGUUCUUUGAGUUCUGGAAACCACACUCUGCCCCUCCACUUUCACAUCUGGAAUAUCAGGACAAUAUUUGACAUGUAGCAUACAUCGGUUUUGGAGCCUAGGAAAUUCCCACCUACCUUCUUCCACCCACUACACUCCUUUCUGUUCCUC